ACGCGUAUAGUUUGGGCGGGCAGGGGCACAUAACAAUUAAAAUCGUAUUAUUAAGCCUACGACCAGCUACAAUAGAGGACAGACAGGGAAUCAAUGCCAUAUUAAAAGGAGGCAGAUUCUCUACCUUCCCACUUUCCGUGCCCUUCCGUGUCUUCCUAUUUGUAUGGUCACGGUUAAGUCACGUCAAUAUUUUAUAUUAAUAUUUUUUUUUAUCUUAUUAUCUCUAUAAAAAUAUAAAAUGUUGACGUGGUUUAACCAUGAUCACACAAAACAGAGGGCAUAGAGAGCACGAAAAGUAGGAAGGCAGAGAAUCAACCUCCAUAUUAAAAACCUCUAAAUGUCAUGUAAAGGUGCUUUACAUACUUAAAAAGUCUAAUAUAUCCUCAUGUUUGUUGAAAUAAUUAUAAAUAAAACUAGAACACAAGGAAAAAGAAAACAAAAAAGAAAAAGAAAAGUUGACUACGUGUUUAAUAAUAAUAGCAUCAAUUGAAAACUAGUAAAGCAUCAAUAAUUAUUCCACUAAGUGAAAGUUUGGGAAUAACAGAAAUAGAAUACCCUUUAACAUAAUAAAUUUCAAAAUGUAGUCCUUUAUUCUUUUUUCUUAACAAAAUGAAUUCAGAGAAGCUGAAAUGCAUCUGUGAGUUUUUCUAACUACAAACUGAUCCCUUUUUAAAGAAAAAAAAAGUACACCAUCAUAUGAUAAAAGUAUUAAAUAAAAAAGGAGUACUUGUCUUAGCUCAAACAUGAAAGUCAAGAUACGAAAACACAAGUCAAUUAAAAGAUAUGCGUUAUUUGAUUAAAAAUCAAUUAGAUUAUGUUAACUAAAAACACUUACAGAAAUUAAGAAAAGAAAUAAAAGAUAAAAUACAAUAAUAAUUUGGAUUUUAAUAACAAGUUUCAUUUCUAUGCUAUGUAGCACUAAAUAACACGAGUAUUGAAUGAUUUGAAUUUAUCGAAGUAAAAUAAAAAAUAAUUCAAAUCAAUCUAGGCUAUUAAAACUUGUAGCACAGAAGAUAGGCUAUCAAAACUUGUAGCACAGAAGAACUUUUUCAUAAAAUGAAGAGAAAAUUAGCUUUCUCAUAUUUUUUUUUUAUCAAUUUAAUUACUUAUAUGGAAGAACCAACAAAAAAAACUUUGAAUUGAAGCACAUGUGAAACAUGACAUUGGGAAUCGUGUUCAUGGCCACAGUUUCUAGGACAGCCCUAUCCCCAUGGCCACAGUAACCGAAGUCAGGUAUAACAAGACAAAUUCAUUCUGCCAUAUUUGGACGAAGUGAGUUUGGACAGUGUCCUUUAAAUUAAAGGUCGAUACCUUUAAUUAUCUUUUCUGCCAUAACUUGCAAAUGCAUAAAACAUUUAGGCCUCCUUAAUUUUUCAUCUCGUAUGAUUUG
rnacentral:lncRNA from 1 species